UAAGUGUUUAUUGUCAUUAGGUCAAGCAUGAGUGAUUUUACUUUGAUUAUUCUAAGAUGGUACCAUGGUGGAGUGUUAGAUUUAACUAGUGGAGAACCGAUUUAUAAAGGUAGAAAAAUUACAGAAUUCUUAGAUGUUGAUGUUGACAAGAUGUCAUAUUUUGAAUUGAGAGACUAUAUAAGAAAAUUAAGAUAUAACACAACAUGCACCUUUAGUAUUAAACCACCUAAUAGUGGCAUUUUGGUAGAUAUGGAUAGUGAUAUGUAUAUUUUUGAAAUAAUGUGUUCCUUGAAAAAUGGAGAUGAAGUGGAUCAAGCAUUUAGUGAAUGAACCAAUUGAUGUGGACCCCCCGUAUUCUUAGAAAAUGCAAGUGUUGGGAAUAUGAAGGAAUUUGGUGCAUCUUUUGAUAAUAGGCCUAACUUUAUGGUAGGUGAGGACCGUAUAAAUAUGGAGGACCCUUUUACUUCUUUUUCUAAUUCACCUCCUUGCACUACCACACCUCAUUUCAUAAUUGCAGAUAGUGCUACUACAUAUAGUGCUUCAGCACCUACUGUUGCACCUAGUGUUGCUACAUCUACUGUUGCAGCUAGUGUUGCUGCACCUUCUGCUGCUCAACCUAGUGCUACUGUAGGUAGUGUUGCUUCACCUAGUGCUGCUGCACCUAGUGCUAAUGCAGUUGCUGAUAUAGAUGUUGUUCCUGCUGGAAAUGAUUUUUCAAAAGAAGAAGUAGAGGGUUCUGAUUACUCUACUGAGGAUAGUGUUGAUUCAGAAGAAGAAUUAGUUAGAGAUGAUGAUGAUGAAGAGUAUGGUAGUGAUGUAAUGAGGAAUUUAGGGAGUUGAGAGUUGAAAAAAGAAAGUUUCAAAGGAAGAAAAGAAAUGAGAGAGUACCAGCAGACAAUACAGAAGUACCAGUAGGUAAAAUAGGACCAGAUCUAGGGGUUUGAUGAUACUGAAAUAGGUAAAUUCAGUCAUGAAGGCAGGUUGGGAGGUGAUGAUCCUUACUUUACAAGUUCUAAUGAGGGGAGUUUUGAGUUAGAUGAAGAUGAUUAUCAAGGAAAAAAAGGACAACAGCCUACAAAAUCAUUCAUAACCCAACUGCAAAGGAAGUUGUUUGGAAGCUGGGAAUGGUAUUUAAAGAUCUAAAUGAAUUUAGAAGAGCUGUGACUAAAUAUGCAGUAAGAAAGAGGGUUCCUAUGGAGAAGUGAGUGAAUGAACCAAACAAGGUUAGAGUUAGAUGCAAGGAUUAUUGUCCAUUAGAUACAAGGAUUGCUGUCCAUGUCUUUUGUAUGCAGUUCUUGACAACACAACAAAAGAUUUCAUGAUAAAAACUUACAUUCCAAAACAUACUUGCAACAAGACAAUCAAAAAUUAUUUGUGCAAUGCAAAAUUUUUAGCUGAAACAUUCAGAGAAAGAAUAAUUGAGCAGCCAAAUAUAAGGGUAUUCAAUCUGCAAGAGUUGAUUAGAAAAAAAUUUAAAUUGUAUGUUGGUAAACUACUAUGAGAAGAGCAAGACCUAAAGUGUUGAAAGAUAUCAUGGGUGAUCAUGCUGUGGAAUUUGGAAGAAUUCUUGACUAUAACGAUGAGCUGCUGAGUACAAAUCUAGGGACAAGUUGUGUUGUUAAACUUGGUGAGGCUAAUGAAGAAGUUAAACCAAAAUUUCUGAGUUUCUACAUCUAUUUUGAUGUAUUGAAGAAAGCAUGGGUACAUUGUAGGAAGUGUAUAGGUUUAGAUGGUUAUUUUCUUAAAGGUGUUUGUAAAGGGCAAUGUUAGUUGCUGUUGGCAAAGAUGGAAAUAACCAGAUGUUGCCACUUGCUUGGGCAGUAGUUGAAAAGAAAAAUACAAAUACAUGGACUUUGUUUGUUAGGUGCAUAAGGGAUAACCUAGGACUUGGAGAAGGAGAAGGUCUCACCUUGAUUACAGAUAUGCAGAAGGUAUGUGUACUGUAUUAUGUGUAAUUUUUUUUCUAGUUUAGCCAAGUAAAUGUAAUAAUGUACUACUUUGACCUUGUUUUAUUGCAUGUAUUGUAUUGUAGGGACUGUUUACAAUAAUUGAGCAGGUGUUACCUCAAUCUGAGCAUAGAAGAUGUGCAAGGCACAUCUUAGCUAAUUGGGCUAAGGAAUAGCGAGGUCUUCAAUUGAGGAAAAACAUACAGAAGAUGAAGUUGCUUGGUCCUGAAAAAAUAAUGGAUGACUUAAUGUACUUCAACAUUAAUUACUGGUGCAAACUUUACUUCAACACUGAAGUGAAAUGUGAUUCUGUGGAUAACAACAUGUCUGAGUAUUUUAAUACAUGGAUCUUACCAGCUAGGCACAAGACCAUCAUUACCAUGCUUGAAGAAAUCAGAGUAAAGAUGAUGAAAAGAAUAGGCACUUUAAGGGAGUUUUCAAGUACUUGGAAGUCCAACUACUCUCCAAUGUGUUUGAAGGUUUUAGAGGAAAACAUCAAUAGGUCUAUGGAUUGUACCAUUUAGUUUAAUGGAGUUGCUAAUUUUGAAGAGAAAAAAGGACUUUGUCAACACAAAGUUGAUAUUGUCAAGAGGACUUACAGUUGUAGGGUGUGGUAGUUAACGGGCAUACCAUGUGCACAUGGUGUGGCUGCAAUAUUGUUCAAAGAGUACCCUCUGUAUGAACACAUAUUUGAGGACUUAUGACAAUGUUAUUGAACCACUUACAAACAUGGAAAUGUGGCCAGUUUCUUCAAACAUUGCUGUUGCACCACCUGAAAUCACAACCUUGCUUGGUAGGCAAGCUAAGAAUAGAAAGAAGGAAGUUGGGGAAACAAAGAAGUCAAGAAAAUUUUCUAGAACUGGACUAGAAAUGACAUGUAGUGUGUGUCAUGUUAGAGGCCACAACAAAAGAGGGUAUCCUCAUAGAGCACCAUCAACAGAAGCAGAACCAACUACACCAUCAGUAGCAACAGAUACUGGGUCAGGCAGGGGAAGAGACAAACCAAAGAAAACUCCAACAGAAGCAACUACUACUGUUUCUUAAGCAAAAAAUAAUGGUUCAGGCAGGGGAAGAGGCAGACCAAAGCUAAUUUUUUCACUUGAAUCCAUUAUGUUAUAACAGUAUUCUAAUUUGUUCUAUUCAUAACAUUCUUUUUAUAUUUAUAGAAAACAUCAUCAGAAGCCAUUACUGAACCUCCACAAGAAAAAAAAAAGAAGAGGGAGACCCAAAGAACAAUUUCAAUGGAACUGCAAAAAAAGGAAUGGGUAGUGGCAGAGAAAACACAGCUCCAUUCAAAAGGCAAAGAGUAGUAGGAAUGGGUGAGUUUCAAGAUGAAAAUGGCUUCAAAGUCCUAAAUACGGCAUGCUUAGCAGUAAGAUGUACUCCACUGGUCAAGUAAAGGUUGCAAGAUCAACUGAUGUAACUGGUGAUAUUGGUUAUACACCAAGUAGUACCAGUAAAUUAAAAUAGAAUGGAAAAUCAGCAAUCUCAACAAGAAAACUACAACAACUUAAAGAGAAUAGAAGAAAGAAGACAGUGGGAAGUAGUUCACACCAUCUAAGUAAACAUAACACUUCUUCAUAGUCCAAGAUGCCAUGAAAAUUGUAGUGAUGUUGAUGUAUUUUAAGCACUGUUUUAACUUAGCUUAGUUGACAUAAAAAUGAUUCCAUUCUGGUUUUGGAAAACAAUUUAAG